CUUUGUGUCCUGGUAGUGUGUGGAAUGUAGAGAGAGAAAUGGAUAAGGUCAAAUGUCAAACCAGUUCAGAGCUUAUGGAUUUUGAAGGAGAUCUGAUCCGAUUAAUGCAAGAUGAGAGCUGCUGGUGAAAUAUUGCCGUCAUCCGAUGGAAGAGGCCCUCCGGCUACACGCUUUCAACGUUUCUCUUCCUUCUCAGCACACGUUCAUCCAUUCAAAGGUAUGAGCGCUGAGCCGUGAUUGAUGGAAUAUGUUGGCCUGGUGGUGGGACGCCUGUGCACAGCUGGUUUCUCCAAGCUGUAACGUGGCAAACGCGGCGAUGGAGAGAUUAUGAG